UACGGGAUAAUAUAUUUGAGAGGCAUCUCUUGAAUAUCAAAGGUGAGCCAGUACAGGAUGGACCCGCGUCUGAUUAGCUAGUUGGUAAGGUAACGGCUUACCAAGGCGACGAUCAGUAGCCGACCUGAGAGGGGGAUCGGCCACAUUGGAACUGAGACACGGUCCAAACUCCUACGGGAGGCAGCAGUGGGGAAUAUUGCACAAUGGGCGAAAGCCUGAUGCAGCAACGCCGCGUGAGUGAUGAAGGCCUUCGGGUCGUAAAACUCUGUCCUCAAGGAAGAUAAUGACGGUACUUGAGGAGGAAGCCCCGGCUAACUACGUGCCAGCAGCCGCGGUAAUACGUAGGGGGCUAGCGU
rnacentral:rRNA from 1 species